UGGAAUUCUAAACGGUGUUUACUUGCUACUGUUGAUCGCCUGCAGUCAUGUGCGCCUGGUACUUCAGUGCAGUGGGCACUUCAGCGCAGUACAGUAAUGAUAAAUUUCGGUUGAUUUUGUUUAUUUUUCUUUCUUUAUUCAAUAAAGGGGAUCAGCUUUAAAUUGUUAGAUGCGCAUAUGGAAGGGCAAGCAGCUUACAUACGCAUCUUCUGUCUUGUGUUCACCUUCGUCGAUGGGAAAACAACAACGAAAAUGCGUUUCAAUCUCAGCCUGUAUGAAAUCAGUGAUACUGUUGAAUUUAUACAAAAACCGAAAGCAAGGCAGACGGAUAGCAGAUCUUAUAAGAAUUUUAUCGAAAUUGAAUAAAAUAUAUAAUGGCAAUAUACGAAAUAUUUGCAAAUAAUUACUUCUGAAUUAUAACAGGUUUCAAAGCAACUAGUUGGGUGACUUUCUUCAAUUAUGUUGUAAUUAUUUUCCUAAGAAUUUUUUAAAGUUAGUUUUAAAGUCACUGACUGAAGUGAAAUAACGAGUUUGAAAAGUAUGCACAACUCUCGGCGCUACUAAAGUAAUAAUGUGGACAUAUUUUGAACAAAUUUAUUUUUUUUAAUUCUAGCCAAGGAAAUGUAGGCAGAGCAAAACCAAAGUUCAUCAAAGUCUGCUAAAUUGCAACUUUCGCGCUCAAAAAAGCUAUUUUCUCGCUUGAAAUGAGUCGGUGAGCAAAUAUAAAUUAUGGGUUGACUGAUAUGAACCGGAGCACUUUGACUUGAAGCAUAAUUACUUGGAUGGAUUUAACUUAAGAUACUUAGAUCCGAUUGACAGGCGAGAAGGCAAUGUACCGGCAUGAGAGUCUAUGAAAUCCAUCAUCCAUAUGAAUGAGAUCGGUUUGGUGUAUUUUAAACUGAAAAAAAUUGUAAAAUAAUUCUAUCAAUAGAAGAAGAUUCACAGAGUAUAGCAGUAUUUCAUAAGAGAGAAACCUAAACUGUAUAUAUGUAGGCUUAUUCUGA